rnacentral:lncRNA from 1 species
AUUUAAUUAGGUAAAUGUAUUCAAUGUUAAUGCAGCAACUUAACUGAUUUAUGCGCCCACGGGUCAGGUUCAUUGUCCACACCGUCCGUUUGCCAUUUGCAGUUUGCUCAAUUUAAUUUGGCAAGAAAUCACGUAGAUAAGCAAUUAACAUGGCCACUGAAGGAUGCCAGUCGCAGUGCCAGUUCCAGUUCCAGUUCCAGGUCCCUGUUCUUUGAAAGUCCUGCCAAGUCACAGGCCACGUACGUAUCGUCUGUCCCUUGUUAAAGAGCAUAAAAUCCGCAGACAGCUUUUCAAAUGCAAAGCAACUCCAUGGAGUGAGAUACUUAUGGAAACAGCUGCAGUCGGACUCGCACUGGCAGUAAGUUUAUUUAGUUGAUGCUGUGAGAGACACUCCAGUUGAUGGUCUUUUGGUGUUCAGUUUGAUUGCAAAGGAGAGUUAUGAUGCUGAACAGCAGCGUUUUUGACACAAAG